CUGGGGGAGCCCCAAAUCUUAAGGGGGGGGUCCCCAAAAUCCUGACUGGGGGAGCCCCAAAUAUUAAGGGGGGGGGUCCCCAAAAUCCUGAGGGAACCCCAAAUCUUAAGGGGAGGGGGGGGUCCCCAAAAUCCUGACUGGGGGAGCCCCAAAUCUUAAUGGGGGGGUCCCCAAAAUCCUGACUGAGUAUUCCCUCAUGGCCAAGAGGUCAGAAAAAGGGGGGGGUCCCCAAAAUCCUGACUGAGGGAACCCCAAAUCUUAAGAGGAGGGAGCCCAAAAAUCCUGACGGAACCCCAAAUCUUAAGGGGGGGGGUCCCCAAAAUCCUGACUGCGGGAACCCC
ensembl:lncRNA